rnacentral:rRNA from 1 species
GGUAGCUAAUACCGCAUAACGUCGCAAGACCAAAGAGGGGGACCUUCGGGCCUCUUGCCAUCGGAUGUGCCCAGAUGGGAUUAGCUAGUAGGUGGGGUAACGGCUCACCUAGGCGACGAUCCCUAGCUGGUCUGAGAGGAUGACCAGCCACACUGGAACUGAGACACGGUCCAGACUCCUACGGGAGGCAGCAGUGGGGAAUAUUGCACAAUGGGCGCAAGCCUGAUGCAGCCAUGCCGCGUGUAUGAAGAAGGCCUUCGGGUUGUAAAGUACUUUCAGCGGGGAGGAAGGGAGUAAAGUUAAUACCUUUGCUCAUUGACGUUACCCGCAGAAGAAGCACCGGCUAACUCCGUGCCAGCAGCCGCGGUAAUACGGAGGGUGCAAGCGUUAAUCGGAAUUACUGGGCGUAAAGCGCACGCAGGCGGUUUGUUAAGUCAGAUGUGAAAUCCCCGGGCUCAACCUGGGAACUGCAUCUGAUACUGG